AACGUAGGUGACAAGCGUUAUCCGGAUUUACUGGGCGUAAAGCGCGUUCAGGCGGUUUGGCAAGUCGGGCAUGAAAUCUCCUGGCUCAACCAGGAGGGGCUGUCCGAUACUUCCAGACUUGAGGGCAGUAGAGGGUGGUGGAAUUCCGGGUGUAGUGGUGAAAUGCGUAGAUAUCUGGAGGAACACCGGUGGCGAAGGCGGCUACU
rnacentral:rRNA from 1 species